rfam:Agrilus planipennis Contig47087, whole genome shotgun sequence.
UCUCUCGUAGCUUAGUGGCAGAACAUUGGUGCGUAAAGCCAAAGGCCCCGGGUUCGAUUCCCGGCGGGGGUC